rnacentral:lncRNA from 1 species
AUGGCCAUGGAGACAGCCUGGACCUGCCCCAUCUGCCAGGACACUCGGAGGAGCAGGGCUUCUGUUCUGCCCUGUCGCCACCAGUUCUGCCUGAGCUGCAUCCUGCAGUGGGCACAGAGAAAUCCAUCGUGCCCACUCUGCAGAACACCGAUAGAUGCUGUCAGGUUUUCUGAGCAGGGCAGAUGGGACUCUCUUCUGUUUGUCAUCACGCAUCCUGGAGAGUCACCACAGGCCAGCAGCCAGGCAAGACGAGCUUCUGGAGAGUCACCAGAGACUCCUACAGUGGGGAAAAGAGGUCCCCAAUAUCCUGGGGCAUCCCCUUCAUCUUCUUCGCAGGGGACAGUGUCCCCACCUGAGCAGGGGGCUGCAGGGCCAGAGCCCAUGGGUGGCAUUCUGCCCGAAGUGUGGGCAGAACUUUUCCAGCGACAACAGCAUCUCCUGGACCCUGUGCUGCCCUGGCUACGCCAGAGGCUUGAGGAAAUUUACUGCAACUGGUGGUUGCCAGUACAGGUUGCUGAGAGCAGAAUCCUGUCUGAUCUCUGUGUCUAUGGUCUACAUGAGGAGACCUUGAUCCUUAGGCUGCAGAACCACCUCAGAGGACAUGCAGCACCACUGGUUCGUGAGCUUAUCAAUGUUAUUGUGAGCCAGUGCAGCGAGGAGGCUCAGAGGCUUCUGCACUCCCACACUGAUGGAGAGGAAACAGGUGGGAGCUGUGUUUCAAAGUGUGACUUUUGAUCAUGAUCUCUCUGGAGUCAGACUCCAGAGUCCCCUGGACACCUGAUCCUAAUUUUGAGGAAUCCAUCUACCGCAUGGAUCUAUCCUGGAGCUGUUGUUCCCAGAAGUAUGUAAUACCUUGGAGCGGUGUUUCAGAAGUCAAGCGUCCCAGAGUCUCAGUUUAGCCAUCUAUCAGCCUCUGAUGACCUAAAGUUCUCGAAGGGAACUGGCUCUGCUUUCCUGAUUUUUUGCUGCACAAUGGAGUUUUGAAAAAUCUCGUGAACUUCAGUUCUUGCUGGAAUUUCUUGUAAAGAAAUAUCAAGUUUCUCAUGGGCUCACUCAACAAAGGUGGAGCCAUUCCAGACCUUCUCACAAGGAAACCGGCCAUGAGAGUACUGCACAUGUAUGUGGAAAACCCAUUUUCCUAAGUCAUUACUUUCCUUGUCUAGUCUUACAGUAAAAUUAGUCUGCUGAGAAACAAUUGCUGUAACUGAAUUGAAAGCCUGCUAGACAACACUCAUUCUGAAAUACAGAUUUAAUAAAGUCAUAUAUGAAAC